CCUACGGGUGGCAGCAGUGAGGAAUAUUGGUCAAUGGACGAGAGUCUGAACCAGCCAAGUAGCGUGAAGGAUGACUGCCCUAUGGGUUGUAAACUUCUUUUAUAUGGGAAUAAAAUGUUCCACGUGUGGGAUUUUGUAUGUACCUUAUGAAUAAGGAUCGGCUAACUCCGUGCCAGCAGCCGCGGUAAUACGGAGGAUCCGAGCGUUAUCCGGAUUUAUUGGGUUUAAAGGGAGCGUAGGUGGAUUGUUAAGUCAGUUGUGAAAGUUUGCGGCUCAACCGUAAAAUUGCAGUUGAAACUGGCAGUCUUGAGUACAGUAGAGGUGGGCGGAAUUCGUGGUGUAGCGGUGAAAUGCUUAGAUAUCACGAAGAACUCCGAUUGCGAAGGCAGUUCACUGGACUGCAACUGACACUGAGGCUCGAAAGUGUGGGUAUCAAACAGGAUUAGAUACCCUUGUAGUC
rnacentral:rRNA from 1 species